rnacentral:pre_miRNA from 1 species
AUAAUAUUUGGACUAUUGGUCUAUCGAGCAAUUUCAGCCACUCGAUAGAAGAUCUUCCUUUUAUCAU